AUAAUUCAGAUUUAUUUCUGAAUUUGAUGUAGUCAAAAGAGCCAAUUAUGGCAUUUAUGAUGUCCCUUAAAGGGAAUUACCCGCAUGGCGGGAAAAGUCUGGGAAGAAUGCCUGCGUAACCGGGUAAAGUUGACAUUGUAUUAUGUCAACAAUCCGUGUAUGGCGGGAGAAAUUUUGGCAAAGGUCUUAUCCUGUAUGACAGGAUAAAGUUAUGAUGACUCAUGUG
rnacentral:lncRNA from 1 species